UCCUGGGUGGCUUGGUCGGUUAAGCGUCCGACUUCAGCUCAGGUCAUGAUCUCACGGUCCGUGGGUUCAAGCCCCACCUCGGGCU
rnacentral:tRNA from 1 species